UACAGAGGGGGCAAGCGUUGUUCGGAAUUACUGGGCGUAAAGGGCUCGUAGGUGGCCAACUAAGUCAGACGUGAAAUCCCCAGGCUCAACUUGGGAACUGCGUCUGAUACUGGAUGGCUUGAAUUCGGGAGAGGGAUGCAGAAUUCCAGGUGUAGCGGCGAAAUGCGUAGAUAUCUGGAGGAAUACCGGUGGCGAAGGCGGCAUCCUGGACCGAGAUUGACACUGAUGAGCGAAAGCUAGGGGAGCAAACGGG
rnacentral:rRNA from 1 species